GACGAACGCUGGCGGCGUGCCUAACACAUGCAAGUCGAACGAAGCUCCCCGACCCGAGGCUUCGGCCAAGGGGACGGGAUGACUUAGUGGCGAACGGGUGAGUAACGCGUGAGCAACCUGACCUUAAGAGGGGGAUAACAUCUGGAAACAGAUGCUAAUACCGCGUAAGACCACAUUGCCGCAUGGCAGAGGGGUCAAAGGAGCAAUCCGCUUAAGGAGGGGCUCGCGUCCCAUUAGAUAGUUGGUGAGGUAACGGCUCACCAAGUCAGCGAUGGGUAGCCGAGCUGAGAGGCUGAUCGGCCACACUGGAACUGAGACACGGUCCAGACUCCUACGGGAGGCAGCAGUGGGGAAUAUUGGGCAAUGGGCGAAAGCCUGACCCAGCAACGCCGCGUGAGGGAAGAAGGCUUUCGGGUUGUAAACCUCUGUCAUUCGGGAAGAAGGAAGUGACGGUACCGAAUGAGGAAGCCCCGGCUAACUACGUGCCAGCAGCCGCGGUAAUACGUAGGGGGCGAGCGUUGUCCGGAAUUACUGGGCGUAAAGGGUGCGUAGGUGGCUAAUUAAGUUGGAUGUGAAGUACCCGGGCUUAACUUGGGGGGUGCAUGCAAAACUGGUUGGCUAGAGUGCAGGAGAGGGAAGCGGAAUUCCUAGUGUAGCGGUGAAAUGCGUAGAUAUUAGGAGGAACACCAGUGGCGAAGGCGGCUUUCUGGACUGCAACUGACACUGAGGCACGAAAGCGUGGGGAGCAAACAGGAUUAGAUACCCUGGUAGUCCACGCUGUAAACGAUGAAUACUAGGUGUAGGGGGUAUGAACUCCCCCUGUGCCGGAGCAAACGCAAUAAGUAUUCCGCCUGGGGAGUACGGCCGCAAGGUUGAAACUCAAAGGAAUUGACGG
rnacentral:rRNA from 1 species